rnacentral:lncRNA from 1 species
AGUUUCUGAAAGGGAAGAUUAUUAUAAGAUAAGGGGUUUGCUCAUCUCAGACUUUAGUGUGCCUGCUUUAAAGUGUUUUGCAAACUUGAAUGUUUAAAGGAAUCACCUGGCGGUCUUGUGAAACUGCAGCUUCUAAUGGGCAAGUCAGAGGGGAAGCCUGAGACAUGGCAUUUCCAGCACGUUCGGGGAGUGAAGAUGCUGUCGGCUGCCACCCUCCCUGCAAGGAGCCAGGGGAUAGAUGACCUCUACGCAAACUGUGAGAGCUUAAAAUAACUGAUAGUGAAAAACAGUUACAGAAGCUCUAGGCCGGGCACGGUGGCUAAUGCCUGUAAUCCCAGCACUUUGGGAGGCCGAGGAGGAUGGAUUGCCAGAACUCAGGAGUUUGAGACCAGCCUGGGCAACACGAUUUCUGUUGUUCAAAGAAGUAAACUGCUGGGCACAGUGGCUCACGCCUGCAAUCCUACCACUUUGGGAGGCUGAGGCAAGCAGAUCACUUGAGAUCAGAAGUUUGAAACCAGCCUGGCCAACAUGAUGAAACCCCAUCUCUACUAAAAUAUAAAAAUUAGCCUCGCA